rnacentral:rRNA from 1 species
AUAUCAAUAAGCGGAGGAAAAGAAACUAACAAGGAUUCCUCUAGUAACGGCGAGUGAAGCGGGAUGAGCUCAAAUUUAAAAUCUGGCUGGUUUACUAGUCCGAAUUGUAGUUUAUAGAAGCGUUUUCGGUGGCAGCCUGGGUAUAAAUCCUUUGGAAUAGGGUAUCAUAGAGGGUGAAGACUCCUGUCUUGAU